rfam:Myotis brandtii contig233847, whole genome shotgun sequence.
AGGCUUGCAGAGAGAGAGGCAGGGUCUGAUCUUCAGCCUUCGUGGCUGCUGUUGAUCAGCCAUUGCCUCUCUCUUUUUCUCUC